GAAGAUUUAGCUUAGUGGUAGAGCUCAUGCUUAGCGUGCAUGAGGUCCUGGGUUCAAUCCUCAAUACUUUCA
rnacentral:tRNA from 1 species